AUAACAACAAAAAGUGUAUAAUAAAAGCUUUUUCUGUGAUUAAUUGACCUACAUCCACAACUAAAGCCAGUAAAACUGCGAGGCAAUGACGCAUCUAUACAAAAGGGUGGCCGAAUUGAGAAAUAUUCAACAACAUGAUUGGAGGCUAAAAUUCAAAUAGUGACUUUUUAGUAGAAAUUAAUCAUUUCAUUCAUUGUCAUAAAGUAAUUGUUGAGUAUAUUAAUUAACCUCACCGUGACUUGUGUUAUCUCACGGUAGCCUACAUAGUAUAAAUAAUAAAACCUUAAUAGACAGAGGUGCACACCAUAAAUGCGGUUACAACGACAACAACAACAACAACAUAAAUGAAUUUGACUUUGAAAAUGACCUG